GAGUUUAAAAAACAAGUGGCACUAGUAUCUGUCACCCCAUUGAUUGCCAGGGUUGAUUUGGCUGAUCUGGCUGGCUAGGCAGGUGUCCCCGUCCUCUCUCACUGCUCCAUGUGCAUCCCUCCCAAAGCUGUGCACUCAGUCAAAGAGGACAACAUUAUAGAGGACCGUCCUUUGCUCAAGGGCAUACGAGUAGCUGCAGUCUCCUGCUAGAACCUCCAAACAAGCUCUCAAGGUCCAUUUGUAAAGGAACAUAGGAUAGUCAAGUUUUUCCAAGACUCCAGACAUAUCCAAAUGAGGCACUGCAUAUGGCAGUCUACCUUUCUCU
rnacentral:snRNA from 1 species